rnacentral:rRNA from 1 species
UCGAAUGGGGAGAUUCAUCGUCAGCUCAUUUUGUAUAUGUAUGAGUUAUGAUGCGAGUUACUANUUNUUGUAUUGCUUGUACAUACUUAUACAUUUAUUUGCAAGAUGUUGUCGGCGUGCACUUCUCCCCUAGUAGAACGUCGCGACCCGUUGGGUGUCGGUCUACGACCCGAGUNGGUAGACUUNUAAUAUUUUNCUAAUAUUGAAGACCCUUGGUGUUUUCUGACCGGCUGCCCGGCGGUACUCGUACGGUAUUUAGCCGCAAUUUNUNUUGCGUCCAUGUCCAUCGCAAGCGAGGCUAAUUUCUGAUAGUACGGACCUAGUGCCGUCGUUGGGAUUGGCCAGCUGUUGGUUGUAUGGAAUUCUAGGACUGGCUAAAAUAAUUACCG